rnacentral:lncRNA from 1 species
UACAAUUCCAGAUGGUCUAGAGUGGCGGGGCAAGUGGAGUCUGAGAUGAGCUACUGAGAUAAAUCUGGUUCCUAUAGGGCUGAGAUCAUGUUUUCCAGCAGCAAUCCCAGGACUGGGUGGAAACCUGGAGGUUUUCAGGAAGGCUGGAGGAGGCUGGCUUAGGAUGAGCUGCUGCAUUGGCUGUGCAGACGUGACCCUCAGGACUUCAUCUGAACCUGUGAAGAGUUUCCAUGCAGGGAAGGGGGGAUGAGUAGAGCUAGGGACCUAAAAUUUGAGAGGGGAAGAUAUUCCCCAGUGGAAGACAGUAAAUCAAAGACUAGAGACCAAGCAUCAGUCUACUGGGUGUUUGCUACACCUCUGAAGAGCUAAGGUUUUCCCUCCUGUUACAGUAAUGGACACUCAACAACACAUACCCUUCCCAGCAACCUGUCCUGCUGGAAAACUACUCGAUAAGGUAACUUCUGCCUGAAGGGGACCAGGGUCAUCAUACCCGCAAGUGCAGCAUCUUCCUGCAGCUCUCAUACUACCAAGCUGGGGUUUUUCCAACAUAAACAUUACAGGUGCUAAAAAAAAAAAAAAAAA